rnacentral:tRNA from 1 species
CCGAGUGGUUAAGGCGAUGGACUGCUAAUCCAUUGGGGUUUCCCCGCGUGAGUUCGAAUCUCAUCCCGAUCG